rnacentral:rRNA from 1 species
UACGUAGGGGGCAAGCGUUGUCCGGAUUUAUUGGGCGUAAAGAGCUCGUAGGCGGUGUGUCGCGUCGGCCGUGAAAACCUGCAGCUUAACUGUGGGCUUGCGGUCGAUACGGGCAUCACUGGAGUUCGGCAGGGGAGACUGGAAUUCCUGGUGUAGCGGUGAAAUGCGCAGAUAUCAGGAGGAACACCGGUGGCGAAGGCGGGUCUCUGGGCCGAUACUGACGCUGAGGAGCGAAAGCGUGGGGAGCGAACAG